CAGUAGCCGCGGUAAUACGAAGGGUGCAAGCGUUAAUCGGAAUUACUGGGCGUAAAGCGUGCGUAGGCGGUUUGUUAAGUCUGCUGUGAAAUCCCCGGGCUCAACCUGGGAACGGCAGUGGAUACUGGCAAGCUAGAGUGUGUCAGAGGAUGGUGGAAUUCCCGGUGUAGCGGUGAAAUGCGUAGAGAUCGGGAGGAACAUCAGUGGCGAAGGCGGCCAUCUGGGACAACACUGACGCUGAGGCACGAAAGCGUGGGGAGCAAACAGGAUUAGAUACCCCAGUAGUCCCUGUCUCUUAUAC
rnacentral:rRNA from 1 species